AAGUCGUAACAAGGUUUCCGUAGGUGAACCUGCGGAAGGAUCAUUACCAAUCCGAACAACAAAACCCGACCCCUGUGCACCGUAGACGUCCCCUUUGGCGGGCCCGUUUGGCAGACGAACGGCCCGCCGGAGGAUCCCUCCGGCCCUCUCCGGGCCGGUCCGAACAGACCUUUUCACGCUGCCCCGGGCCUUUUGCGCCCCCGGCGACCUGACAUGACAUGUAUGGGAAAACCCACAUACGAACAAAGUAUGAACAAUCGUACAACAACUUUUAACAACGGAUCUCUUGGCUCUC
rnacentral:misc_RNA from 1 species